rnacentral:rRNA from 1 species
AUGGCGCUCUUCAGGGCUUCUACCACCAUCUCCUUGGGCAAUGGGAGAAUAUCCUUAUUCUGGCACGACGAUUGGACAGGACGGGGCCCUCUGUCCCGGGCCUUCCCAGAGCUGUACAAAAUUGCCACCAGGAAGCGGAGAUCUGUGAUGAAGGAGCUCCACGAGGAGAACUGGAUCAGGUCGGUUGCCCGUCUUUCAUCGCCUACCCACCUGCAGGAGAUCAUUGCCCUCGCUUCAGUCAUCACUCAGGUGGCAUUGAACCCAGACCAGGAGGACUCCAUCACUUGGAGGUGGACCCCCAAUGGCAUAUACUCUGCUGCCUCGGACUACGCGGCCCAGUUCUCUUGA